rnacentral:rRNA from 1 species
UACGAAUGGGGCAAGCGUUGUUCGGAAUCACUGGGCGUAAAGCGUGUGUAGGCGGCUUGACAAGUCAGAAGUGAAAGCCCAAGGCUCAACCUUGGAAUUGCUUUUGAAACUGUCAGGCUUGAAUCCCGGAGAGGUUAGCAGAAUUCCAAGUGUAGAGGUGAAAUUCGCAGAUAUUUGGAGGAAUACCAGUGGCGUAAGCGGCUAACUGGACGGGCAUUGACGCUGAGACACGAAAGCGUGGGGAUCAAACAGG